UAAGUGAUAGUUCAGUUAGCUCAACAUU
rnacentral:sRNA from 1 species